UACGGAGGAUCCAAGCGUUAUCCGGAAUCAUUGGGUUUAAAGGGUCCGUAGGCGGUUUGGUAAGUCAGUGGUGAAGCCAUCGCCUCACGUAGGAACGGCCAUUGAUACUGCCAGACUUGAAUUAUUAGGAAGUAACUAGAAUAUGUAGUGUAGCGGUGAAAUGCUUAGAGAUUACAUGGAAUACCAAUUGCGAAGGCAGGUUACUACUAAUGGAUUGACGCUGAUGGACGAAAGCGUGGGUAGCGAACAGG
rnacentral:rRNA from 1 species